AUCUUCGUGGUGUAGUGGUCAGCACGCUCGACGCGUAACCGAGAGGUCCGUGGUUCGAUUCCCGGCGAAGGUG
rnacentral:tRNA from 1 species